AAUGGACCAAUUUGUAAGUCGCUCUGGAUAAGAGCAUCUGCUAAAUGACUUAAA
rfam:Salmo salar isolate Sally breed double haploid chromosome ssa29, whole genome shotgun sequence.